rnacentral:rRNA from 1 species
AAUUUGAAGAUUGUAACCUUGGGGUUGGCUCUYGUCUAUGUUUCUUGGAACAGGACGUCACAGAGGGUGAGAAUCCCGUGCGAUGAGAUGCCCAAUUCUAUGUAAGGUGCUUUCGAAGAGUCGAGUUGUUUGGGAAUGCAGCUCUAAGUGGGUGGUAAAUUCCAUCUAAAGCUAAAUAUUGGCGAGAGACCGAUAGCGAACAAGUACAKUGAYGGAAAGAUGAAAAGAACUUUGAAAAGAGAGUGAAAAAGUACGUGAAAUUGUUGAAAGGGAAGGGUUUGAGAUCAGACUCGAUAUUUUGUGAGCCUUGCCUUCGUGGCGGGGUGACCCGCAGCUUAUCGGGCCAGCAUCGGUUUGGGCGGUAGGAUAAUGGCGUAGGAAUGUGACUUUACUUCGGUGAAGUGUUAUAGCCUGCGUUGAUGCUGCCUGCCUAGACCGAGGACUGCGAUUUUAUCAAGGAUGCUGGCAUA